GACGAACGCUGGCGGCGUGCUUAACACAUGCGAGUCGAACGGAAAGGCCCUGCUUUUGUGGGGUGCUCGAGUGGCGAACGGGUGAGUAACACGUGAGUAACCUGCCCUUGACUUUGGGAUAACUUCAGGAAACUGGGGCUAAUACCGGAUAGGAGCUCCUGCUGCAUGGUGGGGGUUGGAAAGUUUCGGCGGUUGGGGAUGGACUCGCGGCUUAUCAGCUUGUUGGUGGGGUAGUGGCUUACCAAGGCUUUGACGGAUAGCCGGCCUGAGAGGGUGACCGGCCACAUUGGGACUGAGAUACGGCCCAGACUCCUACGGGAGGCAGCAGUGGGGAAUAUUGCACAAUGGGCGGAAGCCUGAUGCAGCAACGCCGCGUGCGGGAUGACGGCCUUCGGGUUGUAAACCGCUUUCGCCUAUGACGAAGCGUGAGUGACGGUAAUGGGUAAAGAAGCACCGGCUAACUACGUG
rnacentral:rRNA from 1 species